rnacentral:rRNA from 1 species
GACGAACGCUGGCGGCAGGCCUAACACAUGCAAGUCGAGCGGACCUUUCGGGGUCAGCGGCGGACGGGUGAGUAACGCGUGGGAAUAUGCCCUUCUCUACGGAAUAGUCUUGGGAAACUGGGGGUAAUACCGUAUACGCCCUUUGGGGGAAAGAUUUAUCGGGGAAGGAUUAGCCCGCGUUGGAUUAGGUAGUUGGUGGGGUAAUGGCCUACCAAGCCGACGAUCCAUAGCUGGUUUGAGAGGAUGAUCAGCCACACUGGGACUGAGACACGGCCCAGACUCCUACGGGAGGCAGCAGUGGGGAAUCUUAGACAAUGGGGGCAACCCUGAUCUAGCCAUGCCGCGUGAGUGAUGAAGGCCUUAGGGUUGUAAAGCUCUUUCAGCUGGGAAGAUAAUGACGGUACCAGCAGAAGAAGCCCCGGCUAACUCCGUG